rnacentral:rRNA from 1 species
GCUUAACGCGAAGAACCUUACCCACCUUUGACAUGGCAGGAACUUACCAGAGAUGGUUUGGUGCUCGAAAGAGAACCUGCACACAGGUGCUGCAUGGCUGUCGUCAGCUCGUGUCGUGAGAUGUUGGGUUAAGUCCCGCAACGAGCGCAACCCUUGCCAUUAGUUGCUACAUUUAGUUGAGCGCUCUAAUGGGACUGCCGGUGACAAACCGGAGGAAGGUGGGGAUGACGUCAAGUCCUCAUGGCCCUUAUAGGUGGGGCUACACACGUCAUACAAUGGCUGGUACAGAGGGUUGCCAACCCGCGAGGGGGAGCUAAUCCCAUAAAGCCAGUCGUAGUCCGGAUCGCAGUCUGCAACUCGACUGCGUGAAGUCGGAAUCGCUAGUAAUCGCGGAUCAGAAUGUCGCGGUGAAUACGUUCCCGGGUCUUGUACACACCG